AGAACUGUAGCUCAGUGACAGAGCAUCUGCCUUGCAAGCAGAAGGUGCGAGGUUCAGUCCCCAGCAUCUCCA